UGAUGAUGAUGAUGCUGAUGCUGAUGAUGAUGAUGAUGAUGAUGAUGAUGAUGAUCGUCAUCACCGCCACCGUCAUCACCAUCAUCAUCAUUGUCA
rnacentral:pre_miRNA from 1 species